CUCGACCAAUCAUGAGAGGUCCAGCCUGCCCAGUGACCCUGUUCAACGGCCGCGGUAUCCUAACCGUGCGAAGGUAGCGUAAUCACUUGUUCUUUAAAUAAGGACUAGUAUGAAAGGCACCACGAGGGUUGUACUGUCUCCUUUCUCUAAUCAGUGAAACUAAUCUCCCCGUGAAGAAGCGGGGAUAAAAAUAUAAGACGAGAAGACCCUAUGGAGCUUUAAACUAUAUAAUAUUAGCUUACUUAUUUACACAUUUCAGAAAAAUACUAUACCCUAGCUUUAUAAUUAUUAGUUUUUGGUUGGGGUGACCACGGAGAAAAAAGAAACCUCCGCAAUGAAAGACUCUCCUCCUUAGUUCUAGGACUACUUUCCUACACAUCAAUAAAUUGACAUCUAUUGACCCAACAACGUUGACCAAUGAAC
rnacentral:rRNA from 1 species